GACAGAGAGAACAGACUAGUCAUCAGUCACAGUGGAGAAGGUUCAGACAGAGAGAACAGACUAGUCACAGUGGAGAAGGUUCAGACAGAGAGAACAGACUAGUCACAGUGGAGAAGGUUCAGACAGAGAGAACGGACUAGUCACAGUGGAGAAGGUUCAGACAGAGAGAACGGACUAGUCACAGUGGAGAAGGUUCACACAGAGAGAACAGACCAGUCAUCAGUCACAGUGGAGAAGGUUCAGACAGAGAGAACAGACUAGUCAUCAGUCACAGUGGAGAAGGUUCAGACAGAGAGAACAGACUAGUCACAGUGGAGAAGGUUCAGACAGAGAGAACAGACUAGUCACAGUGGAGAAGGUUCAGAC